rnacentral:lncRNA from 7 species
ACAUGGAGGACGGGCGGCGUGGCGGAGUGCCGCUUGUCCGGGGCAGGACGGAUGGUGGAUGAUGGAGCUGGAGAGGAGGAAGAUCCUCAGCCCCAUGCUGGGCGGUGAUUUGUCUGCCUCCUGCAGCGGGGCUGUCAGCUCACAGCUGCCAACCACUUCCAUUUGCGCUGCCAUUAAACAAUCGCAGGUCUGACAGGUAGGAACAAAAUAAAGCGGGGGAGAAAAGCCUCAAAAAAUCACCCAGCAGGAGCACCGCUGGCUCACCGCAUCCGGAACCCUCCUCACGUCUGUUGCGCUCUUUGGAUCUGCGUCCCCAAAGGAGUUUGGUCACCCUGGGAAGCCCACGUGGAGCCGGGCAGCACAGAGCCAUCCCAGUGCAUCCCAAUGGCCUGGAGACGCCGUGCCAGGUCAGCUCCUGCAGCUCCUGCAGGGAUGGGGCCUGGCACCGAGCUGCCGCCCGGGGGACACCGCGUGCCAUCCCCGUGACACCGUGCUGGCAGAGCAGGGCCGGCCCGCAGAGGGUUAACAGCUGAUUGCAGCCUUUGUCUCUGCAUCAGUGUACAUAAUGCGCCCCGCAUUUGCAUACUGCAGUGUGCGCUCAAUUAAAAUGAACUUUUAAUUUCUU